AUUGAACGCUGGCGGCAGGCCUAACACAUGCAAGUCGAGCGGAUGAGGAAAGCUUGCUUUUCGAUUCAGCGGCGGACGGGUGAGUAAUGCCUAGGAAUCUGCCUGUUAGUGGGGGAUAACUCGGGGAAACUCGGGCUAAUACCGCAUACGUCCUACGGGAGAAAGUGGGGGAUCUUCGGACCUCACGCUAACAGAUGAGCCUAGGUCGGAUUAGCUAGUAGGUGAGGUAAUGGCUCACCUAGGCGACGAUCCGUAACUGGUCUGAGAGGAUGAUCAGUCACACUGGAACUGAGACACGGCCCAGACUCCUACGGGAGGCAGCAGUGGGGAAUUUUGGACAAUGGGCGAAAGCCUGAUCCAGCCAUGCCGCGUGUCUGAAGAAGGCCUUCGGGUUGUAAAGGACUUUUGUCAGGGAGGAAAUCCCUAGUGCUAAUAACACUGGGGGAUGACAGUACCUGAAGAAUAAGCACCGGCUAACUUCGUGCCAGCCGCCGCCGUAAGAC
rnacentral:rRNA from 1 species